AGACUUGACAUGUGGCAUAAUCU
rnacentral:snRNA from 1 species